AGCAUAUCAGUAAGCGGAGGAAAAGAAACUAACAAGGAUUCCCCUAGUAACGGCGAGUGAAGCGGGAAUAGCUCAAAUUUAAAAUCUCGGCGUUUUGCGCCGCGAAUUGUAGUCUAAAGAGGGUGAUCUAGGGUUGGUGGUGUGCUCAAGUUCCUUGGAAUAGGACGCCAGAGAGGGUGAGAGCCCCGUAACAGCACAUUGCCUUCCUCAAGUGAGAGCCUCUCAACGAGUCGAGUUGUUUGGGAAUGCAGCUCAAAGUGGGUGGUAAAUCUCAUCUAAGGCUAAAUACUGGCAAGAGACCGAUAGCGAACAAGUACCGUGAGGGAAAGAUGAAAAGCACCUUGAAAAGGGAGUUAAAUAGUGCGUGAAAUUGUUAAAAGGGAAACGAUAGAGACUAGUAUUGGGCGUUGGCUAAGUCGGUAUUUCGGUAUCGGUGGUGCUUGCGCUUCGAGUCAAUGUCAGUUGUUUUUACCGGAUACGGCUUGGAGAAAGGUGGGGUUGACUUGUCUUCUCUUUAUAGUCUCUGAUGCCUGCGGUCGAGGCGACUGGAAGUCUUGGGACGCUAGGCUACUCGGGGGCAGUAAGUGGCAGACAGCAUGCUGACUGUUGCUUUUCUGUUUUCUACUAACCGACGCUUACCUGGACGCUUUUGACGAGAUGGUCUUUAACGACCCGU
rnacentral:rRNA from 1 species